rnacentral:misc_RNA from 1 species
UCCGGUUUGUCACCGGCAGUCUCCCUAGAGUGCCCUUGCGUAGCAACUAGGGACAAGGGUUGCGCUCGUUGCGGGACUUAACCCAACAUCUCACGACACGAGCUGACGACAGCCAUGCAGCACCUGUGUUCCGGUUCUCUUGCGAGCACCCCCAGCUUUCACCGGGCUUCCGGACAUGUCAAGGGUAGGUAAGGUUGUUCGCGUUGCAUCGAAUUAAUCCACAUCAUCCACCGCUUGUGCGGGUCCCCGUCAAUUCCUUUGAGUUUUAAUCUUGCGACCGUACUCCCCAGGCGGUCAACUUCACGCGUUAGCUGCGGUACUGAGAACUUGCGCUCCCAACACCUAGUUGACAUCGUUUAGGGCGUGGACUAC